GUUUAGCGUUAUAAUGGAAUAUAUCUGCAAUAACUAGGAUAUAUAUGUGAACACUUGGCUCAAUGUUCAGAUUGGUGACUGCACUGCAAUAUUUGGAUUGACAUUGAAAGGGAGAUAACUCAUCAUAUUUCAUGUGAUUUUGUAUUCAUGUAUUUUUCCUAAUCUUUACCUUAUGCAAAUUUUGACCUUACAACUUUACAUAUUACAUGUAUUAACCAGUUUAUUGAAGAUUUGUGUCACCUUUUAUUCAUUUUUUGUUAUUUGGUUUUAUGUUAUUAUCAAUGUAACAUUGUUAUAGAUUCAACAGAGUUGAAUUUAAUAUAUAAUACAUAUCAGUUAAUUAACAGUGAAUUUUGAAUAUAUUUUUUACAACUGCAAAAACCAAAAGAUUGUGAUUGGUUGAAGUUCCUAGAGAAUGGAUAUUUGAAUGAUGGCAUUAAAUUUAUUGAAAUUACCCAUAUUGAUUUAAAUAAUAAGGACGCAAUUGCAUUCAAUUAAAGUACAUUGUUUGCAUUACAAUGUAUUAUAGUAUGUGGAAUCAUGUGUUAGAAUAAAAUAAGAAACGACAAUUGCCUAGAAAAUUAAAUUUCUUAAAAUUUGUCAUGAAAGAUUCACUGUUUAUGACAAUUUUUCUGUCGGAAUAUUUUUAUCUGUGUUGUUAAAGAUACUUCCCUGGUUAUUAUGUAUUAAAGUCAGCAUUUUUGUUUGAUUAAAGAGAAAAAAGUAAAUUUAAACUUACUAUUUUAUUUAAACUUUUUCUUAUGAUUUCUGUCAUGUUUACAUACAAUUUCUUACACAUUUUCCAAAGAUUUCAUUUUUUAAAUGAUAAGUAAUUUUUUUUCAAAAUUUUAGUAUCAGCUAGUAAAAGGAAUUUAAAAUCAAUUUUUAUUCCAGAAGAAAAAUCUCCAUUGCAUUUUUAAAAGAUCUGAUUUUUGUAUUUCGUGUAUCUAACUUACAUCAUGUUGAAAGAAGUGCUAUUGAUGAUAAAUAAUCAUGACAUUCCUAGAGUCUGUGAUCUGAAAAUACAUAUUGUGAUUUCAAUCAUUUUCGUGGGUACCAAUUUUCGUUGAUUAAAGAAAAUUUACAUGUUCAUAAAUAAAUUAAUUUCGUGCAUAAUGUGUAUGUACAAGCCUAUCGGAAAUUUGAAAUUUGUUGAAAAAAGAAUUUGUGGUACAUCUGUACCCUCAAAAUACACAAAAAUCGGUAUCCAACAAAUAAUAUAUUGAAUCCACAGUAUUCAUAUCUCAGGACAAAGUGCUAAAGAGAGUUUUGUUCAGACAUUUCCUACCAUUUCUGGUUUUGUGUUAUAAGUUAACCUUGUUACAGAUAUAACACAUUGUCUCACUUAUAUAUGUGAUAAUCUAUAUUGUAAUGGAAAUGUAGAUUGUUAUUUAAGGCUCACCGUGGUAAUAUUUCAACCUCACCCUGUUAUUAUAUAAAGAUCACAUGGUUAUUGUUUGAAGCUUGCAAUUAGAUGAGAUAAAAUCUUUUAAUUUAUGUAUCAACAAUGCUAAAAUUUCCUUCGAAAAUCAUUUUCUGAAUUUAAAACUGAAAGCAUUUCCUAUUCAAAUGAAAGGCUUUCUAGAGUUCCAUAAAAUCUCAUCCAAUUAUAAUGUUCCAGUUCUUUCCAGAAUGUCAAACAAUAUUUUAGCGAUGUAUUGAGAUUUAUUAGCAAUUGAUUAUAUUUGUUUUAGAUUAAAAAGUAUUUGAUUGUAAAAAUUAUGUCAGUCUCUUCCUGUUGAAAUGGACAUUACUCCUUUAUUUUCAUUUCAAUGGGACAUAACUCAUGCAUAUCAAAGGGAAAUAACUUGUGCAGAUCAAAGGGAAAUACCUUGUGCAUAUCAUCAUGACUCGAAUGAGACAUAUUUGUGUAUUCAAGUGAGCUUUUAUCCAAGAAUAUGUAUUUUUCAUAUUGUUUAUUGUGAUAAAAUAUGUGACAACAUUCCUAUAAUGACCUAUAUCAUGCAAUAUUUUUGUAAUGUCAACAUAUCUUUGUGAGUGUUACUGUGUAUAUACAUCUGGUGUCCCUUAUUUAACAUUUUAUAUAUUUCAUUACCAAACUAUACUACAUAUUCACUUGCUCAUGGCUGUAAUAGAAAUGUUACAAGAUUUUUUUAAUGUUGACCAAGACAAAACAAACAUUUACCCAGAAUUUCAUUAUUGACAAAGGGAGAUAAUUCAAUUCAAAAUAUAAAAUUUCACAUUGCGCAUUGGGGGUCUUCUCUUCAUGCUCCCACAUACUUUGGUGUGCCCUGUUAAUGAGUAAAAUCCUAUAUAAUAUUCAUAUUGGAUUUUUCAGUUUUUUAUUUCUGUUCAACUUGAAGGAUAUUUCAGAUUCUACACACACAAAAAAGCGAAGAAAAAAAAGCUCCUACUUGAGGUCUUUUUUAGAUUAAAUACCAAAUCAAAAUGAAGUGAAACAAUUAUAAGAUUUAGAAUUUUGGAAUGAAUUUAUGAUACUGUCCUUGAAUUCUGCUUAAUACAUUUUAAGUUAGUAUGGGGUAUUAAGAAUUACAUUUCCUAUAGGCUUAUCAUAACAGUUGGACAUUUUUUUUGCUCGUUUGUAUGUAAGACUUUAAUUGGUCAGUUCCUCUAUUUAAAAGAUAACUUUCAUCUAAAAUAAACUUUUUGCAGAAUAUGCAGAAAAAUGUGUAUUUUUUUUAUAUUUUCAAUGUAGUAAAUCUAGUACUAAAUAAUAUGUUGGACAAGGGUACCAGAUGUUGAUCUUAACAUAUCACAAUUAACUUUCAUUGUCUUUCAGUAUCCUAUUUAUAGAAUUUUGUAUGCAAGUUGAAAUAUUACUGGUUCCAUAUUUUUAAAAAUGUACAAUUAAUAUCAGAUAUUAUUUAUAUUCAUCCCUGUCUUAAUAGGGUGUGAAAUUUAUGAAAAAAUAAAUGUUUCAGCAAUACUAUAA